AAAGCCUUAGGUUAAAUUUUAACCUUUUAAUUUUCAAAAUUAAAGAUUUUAGCCUUUUUU
rnacentral:tRNA from 1 species